rnacentral:lncRNA from 1 species
CCUUACCCCAAGAAGCCCUCUUGAUGGCCUUAUAUUCCAGGAAUCAUCCCAUAAGGCUUUGGAGUCAGGUACUUCGUUAAUACAACUGGUUGGUACACUGUGUCCAAAGAUGAGAAUCAGAGACUUGAUUUCCUUGUGGGUAGGUACUUUGCUGUUCCUCAUUCCUUGGCCACAACCAACACUGCUAA